rnacentral:sRNA from 1 species
CGAUAUUAGGAAUGAGUAAACACAGUUUUGUGCUUGCACAAAAAACUGUGUUUAUGAAAUGACUUAACGGACACGAGGAAAAAAAGACAUACGAACGAAGUGAGUGUGUCGAUUUCCGAGUGGACGUAGCAUGGCGAGAGCGAAGCAAAGCCAUGCGUAUAUCG